UCAUCCUUAUCCCUAACCUCCUGACCCCAACCAUCCCACACUUCGCGCCAUGGAUUGCGCCGCCGCCCUGCUCAACAGCCAUUGCCGUCGCUCCCUGCCCCAUCCGCCGUUGCUGCCUGCCGCAUCCCACCGCCAUCGUGAACCAUCUCUCCCUUUGGUCUUCUGUCUUUGACCAAUACGGGGUGGCCUCUAUGCUUCCGUUCGCGUGGUGGCCAUGUGGCUGGUCGAGGGAACACAGUGACCCUGUUGUGCCCCUUCACACAUCGUACCACCGUGGCGCGGAAGUACCUGGAGAAGAUCACGCUCCGCUUAGCAAAUUCGGGUGUUUUCAGUCGGCUACCCAGCAAGUUCAAUGUUCUGCACAGUGCACAGUAUAACACUACAUUGGAUGGCGCUAUUAAAUACUUCGAGGUCAUGUGACAGAGCACGGAAAAAGAACUAUCGAGGUAUGUUUUAUGCUCAUACUACGAUUUUGAGAUUCAGAUGCAGUUUUAUUUAGAACACAUUUUUAUCAUAAUAUUCAAUUCCAAUGCAUUUGGAAUGGGUCAAGUCAAUUGUAAGAGUUGAAUUAGCUACUUCGCCUUUGAGUCCUUUGUGGUUUAGUUGUAAUUUUUUAUUCAAUAAAUUCCUAAAUGCACCAUUUCUUAUGAGAAGGGUUUUAAAAAUCAAAAUCACAAUGUUGUAUAUAUGUUUCGUGCCUCUCACGUCAAUCCUAAGAGGGCACAGGUUGGGUUCAAUAUUUUUAUCGUCAGAUCUAACCAUGAUGAAGGCAGGCCCCUCCGAUUGAUAUUAGGAAGGUGGAAGGUUGACCAGCCGUCUCUUCCUCUCCGUCGUCUCUCCAUGGUGUGCAUGUUAAGAACUUAUGCAGCAGCGGACGCCAAUUUCAUGCAGCCGCCAGCAUCAACUUUUGUGGAGUCCUCUUCUAGGAUCUGAUACGAGUCCCUCCGACAUCAGAUAAGGUUUGGGCAUGCCUGAGGACGAAUCCAAUAAUCAACUGCAAACUGAUCGUAUCGUAUGUUGUGUACGAUCGACACAUUUGCUUGGGUGGAAAAGUCUCGCUUCUGAUUACAGCGCUUUCAGAAGACAGUAGAAGUCGUUUGGUUCAGCCCUUCUGUUUUGUGUUACGGUGCUAUCGGAUACAGGCUUCACUUCGCUUCUGCGAAAACGUCCGAUCACGGCUGGAUACAGAAUCCUCUCCGCUAUGCAGUCCGAUCACGGCUGGAUACAGAAUCCUCUCCGCUAUGCAUUCAUUCGCGGCCGAACCAAACAAAACGCGUAUUCUGGAGGAAAUAUCAGAGGCAAAGCUUCCCGACACUGAAAAUCGAAAACGAUACAACGUGGAACCAAACGCCUCCCAUAUUUCUUCAGUUCCACUUGGAAAACAUAGAUUGAUUAUGUAUCAAUAAACCAUGUGUUAGUCAAGACAAAAAUAUCGAUGUAAAGCUCAGGUUUGUUAAGUUGUUUGGUUGUACGUGUGACAUGGUUCAUAUACAUAUUGCUAGCUACUUUAUUUUUCGUUCAUUAAUAAUACUAUGUUGAAGAAACUUACCAUGUUA